UCCGGUUUGUCACCGGCAGUCUCCCUAGAGUGCCCUUGCGUAGCAACUAGGGACAAGGGUUGCGCUCGUUGCGGGACUUAACCCAACAUCUCACGACACGAGCUGACGACAGCCAUGCAGCACCUGUACACGUGUCCCGAAGGAGGGCCCGUGUUUCCACGGGCUUUCACGUGUAUGUCAAGCCCAGGUAAGGUUCUUCGCGUUGCUUCGAAUUAAACCGCAUGCUCCACCGCUUGUGCGGGCCCCCGUCAAUUCCUUUGAGUUUCAGCCUUGCGGCUGUACUCCCCAGGCGGGGCACUUAAUGCGUUAGCGCCGGCACUCAGGGGGUCGCUCCCCCAAGCACCUAGUGCCCAUCGUUUACGGCGUGGACUAC
rnacentral:misc_RNA from 1 species